UAUACAGUUGCAAAAAUGCACUGAGCGCGGCGGUGUCUGGUUCUGCACUCACGAGAUACCGAUCUACAUUCAAAUUAUGCGAAUUAAACGCAUUUAUAGUGUCAACAGUGAUCAAAUUUGCAAAAUCAUGCUGAUAAAAAACUGAACUCUAAUAUCCAGGAAAAAUUCAAAACAGAGUGCUAUAAA